UACAUGGGGUGCAAACGUUGCUCGGAAUUAUUGGGCGUAAAGCGCGCGUAGGCGGUUACUUAAGUCGGAUGUGAGAGCCCUCGGCUUAACUGAGGAAGUGCACCCGAAACUGAGUAGCUAGAGUACGAAAGAGGGUCGCGGAAUUCCCGGUGUAGAGGUGAAAUUCGUAGAUAUCGGGAGGAACACCGGUGGCGAAGGCGGCGACCUGGGUCGAGACUGACGCUGAGGCGCGAAAGCGUGGGGAGCAAACAGG
rnacentral:rRNA from 1 species